rnacentral:rRNA from 1 species
CAGGUCUUGACAUCCCUCUGACCGCUCUAGAGAUAGAGUUUUCCUUCGGGACAGAGGUGACAGGUGGUGCAUGGUUGUCGUCAGCUCGUGUCGUGAGAUGUUGGGUUAAGUCCCGCAACGAGCGCAACCCCUAUUGUUAGUUGCCAUCAUUCAGUUGGGCACUCUAGCGAGACUGCCGGUAAUAAACCGGAGGAAGGUGGGGAUGACGUCAAAUCAUCAUGCCCCUUAUGACCUGGGCUACACACGUGCUACAAUGGCUGGUACAACGAGUCGCAAGCCGGUGACGGCAAGCUAAUCUCUUAAAGCCAGUCUCAGUUCGGAUUGUAGGCUGCAACUCGCCUACAUGAAGUCGGAAUCGCUAGUAAUCGCGGAUCAGCACGCCGCGGUGAAUACGUUCCCGGGCCUUGUACACACCGCCCGUCACACCACGAGAGUUUGUAACACCCGAAGUCGGUGAGGUAACCGUAAGGAGCCAGCCGCCUAAGGUGGGAUAGAUGAUUGGGGUG